rnacentral:sRNA from 1 species
GCUGGGUGUGGUGGCUCACUCCUGUAAUCUCAGUGGCUUGGGAGGCUGAGACAGGAGAAUCGCGAGUUCAAAGCCAGCCUCAGAAAUGGUGAGGCACUAAGCAACUCAGUUAGACCCUGUCUCUA